ensembl:lincRNA Gm6117 predicted gene 6117
GGUCUCACACGGGAUAGGCAAUCACUUGACUACUGACUGUGUCCCCAGCCAUUUGGUUUUUUGUUUUGUUUUGUUGUUGUUGGUGGUGUUUUGCUUGUUUGUUUGUUUGUUUGUUUGAGGCAGGGUCUUUUUAAGUUAUCUUUGCUACAGCCUAAUUUGCAGCUUCAACCUACCAAUUUGUGCCCAGGAACGAGGACCAGGACUGAGGAUGCCCUCUUUCUGCACAAUGCCUGCACAUGCAGAGUCUCUGCAUUUUGACACCCACAAGCUCCGCAGCUUCCCUCUCCUACUGUGACUCAUCAGCAUUCUCCUUUCCAGUGUUUUGGAGUGGGUGUUGAUGGAGGGGAACGUGGAUUUCCAGAUAGCAUCUCAUGCAGCCCAGCCUGGUCUUGAACUCAUUGUGAAGCCAAGGAAGGCCAUGAACUCCUGAUUUCCUCUUCUACCUUCCAAGUGUGGAGAUUACAGACACACACACCUUUAAUUACAGAACUUGGGAGACAGAUUCGAGUGGAUCUCUGUGAGUUCAAGGCCAGCUUGGUCUGUAUUGCAAGUUCCCAGGCCAAGUAGGGCUACAUAAUGAGAUCCUGGCAAAAAGAAAAGAAAAGUAAGAAGGAAGAGGAGGAGAAGAAGAAAAAGAAGAAGGAAAAAGAAAAGGAGGAGAUGGGGAUAAAGGAGAAGAAGGAGAAGAAGAAGGAGGAGAAAGAAGAGGAGGAGGAAGAGGAAGAAGAGGAGGAGGAGGAGGAGGAGGAGGAAGAAGAAGAAGAAGAAGAAGAAGAAGAAGAAGAAGAAGAAGAAGAAGAAGAAGAAGAAGAAGAAGAAAGCAAGAGCAAGCUCCCUCCACUGCUUUGUGUUUUAAGAGAGAAUGACUGUUCAGUGUCCCUGGAAACUCACCAGAAAGCGAAUCAUUGUGAAGCAGCUCAUGUCUUCUCCAUAAAAAUAACGCUGCCUGCUGUUGAGACUGCCUUCUAGAGGAAGAAUUGGCAUGAGAAGCCAGGCGUGACUGGCGAUGGCACAGGAGCAAAGAACUAUAAACCUUUAUCGUCACUUCAUAUAAUAAACGUAUAAUAUAAUAAACUUAAUAUAAUAAACGUGCGCUCUGAUACCUUUUCAAAUGCCCAGAAAUGGAGAGCGCACCCUGAUUACACAGAAGGCCAUAAAAUGAACAUGCUGCACAUAAAAAAAUUAUACCGUUGUAUAAAUUUUCCUGAAGACUGAUGUAUUAUUUAUGAUAAGCAUUAAUUAAAAGAUUAAUUGCUAAUGUUCUCUGCCCUUGUAGAAGUUAGCAGAAAAAUUAAAGUAGCUUAAAUAUAUUUGGAGAUAA